CGGGACGGGGUGGAGUAAUGUCUGGGAAACUGCCUGAUGGGAGGGGGUAACUACUGGAAACGGUAGCUAAUACCGCAUAACGUCGCAAGACCAAAGAGGGGGACCUUCGGGCCUCUUGCCAUCGGAUGUGCCCAGAUGGGAUUAGCUAGUAGGUGGGGUAACGGCUCACCUAGGCGACGAUCCCUAGCUGGUCUGAGAGGAUGACCAGCCACACUGGAACUGAGACACGGUCCAG
rnacentral:rRNA from 1 species